UUAAGCGACUAAGCGUACACGGUGGAUGCCCUGGCAGUCAGAGGCGAUGAAGGACGUGCUAAUCUGCGAAAAGCGUCGGUAAGGUGAUAUGAACCGUUAUAACCGGCGAUGUCCGAAUGGGGAAACCCAGUGCAAUUCGUUGCACUAUCGUUAACUGAAUACAUAGGUUAACGAGGCGAACCGGGGGAACUGAAACAUCUAAGUACCCCGAGGAAAAGAAAUCAACCGAGAUUCCCCCAGUAGCGGCGAGCGAACGGGGAGCAGCCCAGAGUCUGAAUCAGCUUGUGUGUUAGUGGAACGGUCUGGAAAGUCCGACGGUACAGGGUGAUAGUCCCGUACACCAAAAUGCACAGGCUGUGAACUCGAAGAGUAGGGCGGGACACGUGGUAUCCUGUCUGAAUAUGGGGGGACCAUCCUCCAAGGCUAAAUACUCCUGACUGACCGAUAGUGAACCAGUACCGUGAGGGAAAGGCGAAAAGAACCCCGGCGAGGGGAGUGAAAAAGAACCUGAAACCGUGUACGUACAAGCAGUGGGAGCACCUUCGGGUGUGACUGCGUACCUUUUGUAUAAUGGGUCAGCGACUUAUAUUCUGUAGCAAGGUUAACCGUAUAGGGGAGCCGCAGGGAAACCGAGUCUUAACUGGGCGUUAAGUUGCAGGGUAUAGACCCGAAACCCGGUGAUCUAGCCAUGGGCAGGUUGAAGGUUGGGUAACACUAACUGGAGGACCGAACCGACUAAUGUUGAAAAAUUAGCGGAUGACUUGUGGCUGGGGGUGAAAGGCCAAUCAAACCGGGAGAUAGCUGGUUCUCCCCGAAAGCUAUUUAGGUAGCGCCUCGUGAAUUCAUCUUCGGGGGUAGAGCACUGUUUCGGCUAGGGGGUCAUCCCGACUUACCAACCCGAUGCAAACUACGAAUACCGAAGAAUGUUAUCACGGGAGACACACGGCGGGUGCUAACGUCCGUCGUGAAGAGGGAAACAACCCAGACCGCCAGCUAAGGUCCCAAAGUCAUGGUUAAGUGGGAAACGAUGUGGGAAGGCACAGACAGCCAGGAUGUUGGCUUAGAAGCAGCCAUCAUUUAAAGAAAGCGUAAUAGCUCACUGGUCGAGUCGGCCUGCGCGGAAGAUGUAACGGGGCUAAACCAUGCACCGAAGCUGCGGCAGCGACACUAUGUGUUGUUGGGUAGGGGAGCGUUCUGUAAGCCUGCGAAGGUGUGCUGUGAGGCAUGCUGGAGGUAUCAGAAGUGCGAAUGCUGACAUAAGUAACGAUAAAGCGGGUGAAAAGCCCGCUCGCCGGAAGACCAAGGGUUCCUGUCCAACGUUAAUCGGGGCAGGGUGAGUCGACCCCUAAGGCGAGGCCGAAAGGCGUAGUCGAUGGGAAACAGGUUAAUAUUCCUGUACUUGGUGUUACUGCGAAGGGGGGACGGAGAAGGCUAUGUUAGCCGGGCGACGGUUGUCCCGGUUUAAGCAUGUAGGCUGGUUAUCCAGGCAAAUCCGGAUAAUCAAGGCUGAGGUGUGAUGACGAGGCACUACGGUGCUGAAGUAACAAAUGCCCUGCUUCCAGGAAAAGCCUCUAAGCAUCAGGUAACAUCAAAUCGUACCCCAAACCGACACAGGUGGUCAGGUAGAGAAUACCAAGGCGCUUGAGAGAACUCGGGUGAAGGAACUAGGCAAAAUGGUGCCGUAACUUCGGGAGAAGGCACGCUGGUGUGUAGGUGAAGUCCCUGCGGAUGGAGCUGAGACCAGUCGAAGAUACCAGCUGGCUGCAACUGUUUAUUAAAAACACAGCACUGUGCAAACACGAAAGUGGACGUAUACGGUGUGACGCCUGCCCGGUGCCGGAAGGUUAAUUGAUGGGGUUAUCCGUAAGGAGAAGCUCUUGAUCGAAGCCCCGGUAAACGGCGGCCGUAACUAUAACGGUCCUAAGGUAGCGAAAUUCCUUGUCGGGUAAGUUCCGACCUGCACGAAUGGCGUAAUGAUGGCCAGGCUGUCUCCACCCGAGACUCAGUGAAAUUGAACUCGCUGUGAAGAUGCAGUGUACCCGCGGCAAGACGGAAAGACCCCGUGAACCUUUACUAUAGCUUGACACUGAACAUUGAGCCUUGAUGUGUAGGAUAGGUGGGAGGCUUUGAAGCGUGGACGCCAGUCUGCGUGGAGCCAACCUUGAAAUACCACCCUUUAAUGUUUGAUGUUCUAACGUUGGCCCCUGACCGGGGUUGCGGACAGUGUCUGGUGGGUAGUUUGACUGGGGCGGUCUCCUCCCAAAGCGUAACGGAGGAGCACGAAGGUUAGCUAAUCCUGGUCGGACAUCAGGAGGUUAGUGCAAUGGCAUAAGCUAGCUUGACUGCGAGCGUGACGGCGCGAGCAGGUGCGAAAGCAGGUCAUAGUGAUCCGGUGGUUCUGAAUGGAAGGGCCAUCGCUCAACGGAUAAAAGGUACUCCGGGGAUAACAGGCUGAUACCGCCCAAGAGUUCAUAUCGACGGCGGUGUUUGGCACCUCGAUGUCGGCUCAUCACAUCCUGGGGCUGAAGUAGGUCCCAAGGGUAUGGCUGUUCGCCAUUUAAAGUGGUACGCGAGCUGGGUUUAGAACGUCGUGAGACAGUUCGGUCCCUAUCUGCCGUGGGCGCUGGAGAAUUGAGGGGGGCUGCUCCUAGUACGAGAGGACCGGAGUGGACGCAUCACUGGUGUUCGGGUUGUCAUGCCAAUGGCACUGCCCGGUAGCUAAAUGCGGAAGAGAUAAGUGCUGAAAGCAUCUAAGCACGAAACUUGCCCCGAGAUGAGUUCUCCCUGAGACUUUAAGUCUCCUGAAGGAACGUUGAAGACGACGACGUUGAUAGGCCGGGUGUGUAAGCGCAGCGAUGCGUUGAGCUAACCGGUACUAAUGAACCGUGAGGCUUAACCU
rnacentral:rRNA from 1 species